rnacentral:rRNA from 1 species
UACGUAGGGUGCAAACGUUAAUCGGUAUUACUGGGCGUAAAGCGUACGCAGGCAGCUUUGCAAGACAGGUGUGAAAUCCCCGGGCCUAACCUGGGAACUGCAUUUGUGACUGCAUGGCUAGAGUUUGUCAGAGGGGGGUGGAAUUCCACGUGAAGCAGUGAAAUGCGUAGAGAUGUGGAAGAACACCGAUGGCGAAGGCAGCCCCCUGGGAUGAGACUGACGCUCAUGUACGAAAGCGUGGGGAGCAAACAGC